UUUCCGUAGGUGAACCUGCGGAAGGAUCAUUAAUGAGUUGUCAUGGGGUUCGAUGCUGGCAGCCAAUUUUUGGAUGCAUGUGCUUGCCCUAACAAUCAUCUUCCAAACACCUGUGCACAUUUUUGAGGGAGUCUUGAGUUGGUUGCCGCUCUUGGGUGAUCUUCUCACAUUCCCUUAAAUCAUUAUACGCUAUUAACAAUGUUGAACGUGCUCUGUGCCGCAAGGCUAUUAAUAUAAUACAACUUUUAACAACGGAUCUCUUGGCUCUC
rnacentral:misc_RNA from 1 species